GUUCGGAGGGCGGUGCGCGGCUGGGUGCCGGAGGCCAGCGCUGGGGGCGCGUUCUCCUCGUUUUCUCGGCUCUCCAGCCCGAGACGGGCAUUUUGUCGAGCGGCCUGGCCGAGGGGAGCUUCUCCGAGCUUCCGUCGGGUCUGGCUCGCUGGAACUGCAGGCCCAAGCUCGGGGUCGGCGACGCCAAAGUGGUGCCCGGAUAAAUCCUGGGCUUCCGGCGUUGAACCGGCCACUGAGGUCCGACACAACUUGCAAAAUGGCCCGGGGUUACAAGCAUGUGAGGUUGGAACACGCAAAAUAACAGCUGCAGAACGGUUCAAGCCCGGAGGAGCCUGCCUCCUGCUCUGAUCUCCUUCCAACAUCCUCUACGUUCCCAAGUAGGGAUUUCCUCCCUCAAAACCCGGGAAGACUGGGAAGGAGGCGCAAGAAAUGCCUCCCCCCUCCCCCAAAUCUUAGCAGCCGCUUGGGCAAAAGGCUGGAUCCCACCCCGGGUCUGCAGUGGCAGGAGACCCAGAAAUGGUGCCGAGGAGAAGAUCAGCUUCUGAGGCCCGACUCCCGCCCAAGCCGCCUCUUUCACCACGCCCUUGGGGUUUGGGGGAGGGAAAAUUGGGAGACAAGAGGGAGCCUGCGAAUGGUAGACGUCCUUUCUGAGCGCAGCUUUCAGGGUUAAAGUUCCGGAAUCCGAGGUAAGAGUUGGUCUCUCUCCCUCUCUCUCUCUGUCUCUCUGUCUCUUUCUCUGUCUCUCUCUCUCUGUCUCUCUCUCUCUCUGUCUCUCUCUCUCUGUCUCUCUCUCAGAAAUACAAGCCGACUCAGCUGAGCUCGGUGACGUUGGGCUGCCUUGAUGCUUACAAAGUACUGAAAUUGCCUAUCCAACUAGCUCCCACUGCACGCCGCCUGCCUCUGUCUGUCUCUCUCUCUCUCCCUCCCUUCCUCCCUUCCUCCCUCCUCCCUCUCCCUUCCCACUCCCUCCCCCAACCACCUUUUCCAUUAGAUUUCCCGAACACUCAAAUCACAACAAGACUCUCAAACCCAGACCUCGAGAUCACCCCCUCCUCUCCACCCGCUCUCCAACCUCCAUCCAUCUCUGCUUCUCUGAGCGCGGCUCGGUGGCUGCAAAAAAUCCUGCACAAAUCAUCGCAAACCCGCUCGGCUUCUGCCCGGGAAGUACUCUCGGUGACGCGGCUGUGCGGAGAACGGAGUACGAACGCACGAGGCGUGCACACACACGCUGGGAGCCUCCUCUGCAGCCUUGCCCGCGUUCUCUCUCCACCGCUGACCUCAAGACGGAGAACUGCCUGACCCCGCCUGGCCCAGCCUGCCGCCGCUAGCCGCCCUGAUAUCUCCCCCCAUCCCCACUCAUCACCCCGACUCCGAGAGACUCCGGGGUGAAGGCAGGGUGAAGGCAUACCCCAAUAAAAUAAAGAGGCAAUCAGGCGAUACCGACUAUCUCACCAGCCGCUGCACCUAUAGGACUUGGAGACGUCACGAGUCACGCAACAGGCCCGCGCGCUGUCACGCUCGACUGGGGGGCAGCGGCGGGAGGUUGAGUCCUCUCCGUCUUCGCCUAUCACUCCCGCCCGGGUCUGCGCAGCCACAAGUCUCAGACGCCUGGGCCACGGGAAUAAAUAAAGAAAUAAACAAAUCCAGCGCUCU